CCUCCGGUAGGUUAGUGGUUUGAGUUCUAGUCUGAUGUACUGGAGGUGGUGGGUUCGAUUCCUACCUGGGGCA
rnacentral:tRNA from 1 species